AGAGUUUGAUCAUGGCUCAGAUUGAACGCUGGCGGCAGGCCUAACACAUGCAAGUCGAACGGUAACAGGAAGAAGCUUGCUUCUUUGCUGACGAGUGGCGGACGGGUGAGUAAUGUCUGGGAAACUGCCUGAUGGAGGGGGAUAACUACUGGAAACGGUAGCUAAUACCGCAUAACGUCGCAAGACCAAAGAGGGGGACCUUCGGGCCUCUUGCCAUCGGAUGUGCCCAGAUGGGAUUAGCUAGUAGGUGGGGUAACGGCUCACCUAGGCGACGAUCCCUAGCUGGUCUGAGAGGAUGACAAGCCACACUGGAACUGAGACACGGUCCAGACUCCUACGGGAGGCAGCAGUGGGGAAUAUUGCACAAUGGGCGCAAGCCUGAUGCAGCCAUGCCGCGUGUAUGAAGAAGGCCUUCGGGUUGUAAAGUACUUUCAGCGGGGAGGAAGGGAGUAAAGUUAAUACCUUUGCUCAUUGACGUUACCCGCAGAAGAAGCACCGGCUAACUCCGUGCCAGCAGCCGCGGUAAUACGGAGGGUGCAAGCGUUAAUCGGAAUUACUGGGCGUAAAGCGCACGCAGGCGGUUUGUUAAGUCAGAUGUGAAAUCCCCGGGCUCAACCUGGGAACUGCAUCUGAUACUGGCAAGCUUGAGUCUCGUAGAGGGGGGUAGAAUUCCAGGUGUAGCGGUGAAAUGCGUAGAGAUCUGGAGGAAUACCGGUGGCGAAGGCGGCCCCCUGGACGAAGACUGACGCUCAGGGGCGAAAGCGUGGGGAGCAAACAGGAUUAGAUACCCUGGUAGUCCACGCCGUAAACGAUGUCGACUUGGAGGUUGUGCCCUUGAGGCGUGGCUUCCGGAGCUAACGCGUUAAGUCGACCGCCUGGGGAGUACGGCCGCAGGGUUAAAACUCAAAUGAAUUGACGGGGGCCCGCACAAGCGGUGGAGCAUGUGGUUUAAUUCGAUGCAACGCGAAGAACCUACCUGGUCUUGACGUCCACAGAACUUUCCAGAGAUGGAUUGGUGCCUUCGGGAACUGUGAGACAGGUGCUGCAUGGCUGUCGUCAGCUCGUGUUGUGAAAUGUUGGGUUAAGUCCCGCAACGAGCGCAACCCUUAUCUUUUGUUGCCAGCGGUCCGGCCGGGAACUCAAAGGAGACUGCCAGUGAUAAACUGGAGGAAGGUGGGGAUGACGUCAAGUCAUCAUGGCCCUUACGACCAGGGCUACACACGUGCUACAAUGGCGCAUACAAAGAGAAGCGACCUCGCGAGAGCAAGCGGACCUCAUAAAGUGCGUCGUAGUCCGGAUUGGAGUCUGCAACUCGACUCCAUGAAGUCGGAAUCGCUAGUAAUCGUGGAUCAGAAUGCCACGGUGAAUACGUUCCCGGGCCUUGUACACACCGCCCGUCACACCAUGGGAGUGGGUUGCAAAAGAAGUAGGUAGCUUAACCUUCGGGAGGGCGCUUACCACUUUGUGAUUCAUGACUGGGGUGAAGUCGUAACAAGGUAACCGUAGGGGAACCUGCGGUUG
rnacentral:rRNA from 1 species